GACGAACGCUGGCGGCGUGCUUAACACAUGCAAGUCGAACGGAAAGGCCCUGCUUUUGUGGGGUGCUCGAGUGGCGAACGGGUGAGUAACACGUGAGUAACCUGCCCUUGACUUUGGGAUAACUUCAGGAAACUGGGGCUAAUAUCGGAUAGGAGCUCCUGCUGCAUGGUGGGGGUUGGAAAGUUUCGGCGGUUGGGGAUGGACUCGCGGCUUAUCAGCUUGCUGGUGGGGUAGUGGCUUACCAAGGCUUUGACGGGUAGCCGGCCUGAGAGGGUGACCGGCCACAUUGGGACUGAGAUACGGCCCAGACUCCUACGGGAGGCAGCAGUGGGGAAUAUUGCACAAUGGGCGGAAGCCUGAUGCAGCAACGCCGCGUGCGGGAUGACGGCCUUCGGGUUGUAAACCGCUUUCGCCUGUGACGAAGCGUGAGUGACGGUAAUGGGUAAAGAAGCACCGGCUAACUACGUG
rnacentral:rRNA from 1 species